rnacentral:rRNA from 1 species
AACAGGGAUUGCCCUAGUAACGGCGAGUGAAGCGGCAACAGCUCAAAUUUGAAAUCUGGCGCAAGCCCGAGUUGUAAUUUGUAGAGGAUGCUUCUAGGUAGCGACCGGUCUAAGUUCCUUGGAACAGGACGUCAUAGAGGGUGAGAAUCCCGUAUGUGACCGGCCCGCACCUUCUACGUAGCUCCUUCGACGAGUCGAGUUGUUUGGGAAUGCAGCUCUAAAUGGGAGGUAAAUUUCUUCUAAAGCUAAAUACCGGCCAGAGACCGAUAGCGCACAAGUAGAGUGAUCGAAAGAUGAAAAGCACUUUGGAAAGAGAGUUAAAAAGCACGUGAAAUUGUUGAAAGGGAAGCGCUUACAACCAGACUUCUGGGCGGUGUUCCGCCGGUCUUUUGACCGGUCUACUCGCCGUCCCGAGGCCAACAUCAUCUGGGACCGCUGGAUAAGACCUCAGGAAUGUAGCUUCCCUCGGGAAGUGUUAUAGCCUGUGGUGAUGCAGCGCGUCUCGGGUGAGGUCCGCGCUUCGGCAAGGAUGUUGGCGUAAUGGUUGUCAGCGGCCCGUCUUGAAACACGGACCAAGGAGUCUAACAUCUAUGCGAGUGUUCGGGUGUCAAACCCCUACGCGUAAUGAAAGUGAACGGAGGUGGGAAGCGUAAGCUGCACCAUCGACCGAUCCUGAUGUCCUCGGAUGGAUUUGAGUAAGAGCAUAGCUGUUGGGACCCGAAAGAUGGUGAACUAUGCCUGAAUAGGGUGAAGCCAGAGGAAACUCUGGUGGAGGCUCGCAGCGGUUCUGACGUGCAAAUCGAUCGUCAAAUUUGGGUAUAGGGGCGAAAGACUAAUC